ensembl:lncRNA MIR124-1HG MIR124-1 host gene
CCCUCCACCACUUGGGACCUGAGCGAGAGGACUGCAGCAGGCGAGUUCCGGAAGGCUGAAUCCCCAGGUCCCAGCCCCGGACCGCGGCAACUCGCCCCUGCGGCACGCCCGGCCCGGCUGCGCCCCCACUCAGCGAUGGAGGAAAAAGCCUGGAUGCGAAAGGAUGGGGGAGAACAAAGAGCCUUUGGAAGACGUCGCUGUUAUCUCAUUGUCUGUGUGAUUGGGGGAGCUGCGGAGAAAGGCCUCUCUCUCCGUGUUCACAGCGGACCUUGAUUUAAAUGUCCAUACAAUUAAGGCACGCGGUGAAUGCCAAGAAUGGGGCUGGCUGAGCACCGUGGGUCGGCGAGGGCCCGCCAAGGAAGGAGCGACCGACCGAGCCAGGCGCCCUCCGCAGACCUCCGCGCAGCGGCCGCGGGCGCGAGGGGAGGGGUCUGGAGCUCCCUCCGGCUGCCUGUCCCGCACCGGAGCCCGUGGGGUGGGGAGGUGUGCAGCCUGUGACAGACAGGGGCUUAGAGAUGCAAACAGACUCAGGGAGAGAAACAGAA